CCUCUGGAGUGUGCCCUAGGGACCAGUUUGUCCAUGCCCCUGCCUCCAGGCCAGUCACUAGGACCAACAGAUGUCCCAAGGAAGACACCGGCCAUGACUGCAUCCUGGAACCAUAUCAAACUGGCAGCACUUACUUCUCUGGACUUGUUUUUGUUUCACCAAAUUUGCUGGAUCUGUUGGCAAGUUUGAGUGAACAGUCUCAGACUGCAAAGCAAGUCAGCACUACCACAGAGGGAAUCCCAAACUCGCUGCUGAGAACAGAACAGCUGUGCCCUCGCCGACUGGGACCCGAGUGACAUCUACUGGAGCAAGCAGGGGCUGCACGUGAGCAGGCAGCCAUUCGGUCACUCCCCGUCAUUCCAACACAAUCGAAUUUGUGUAGAAAAUUUACAUGCAUCAUAGGCUAUUUAUGAAUAUAUGCACACGUAGAAAGAGGAAAAAUACGCUUGGAAAUGUCCAGGCCUCAGUUUCGCCAUUGAUAAAGACACAAUGUUGACCCAAAUUAAACCCUUUUCUGAAUUUAACACUGAGGAACACUUCCAGCCACCCCCGACCCCGAGUUCUCUGCAGUGGUAGCUAUUUUUCCAGGAUGUCCUGGCAUUGCGGCUGCCUUCUUCCCACCUGCCUCUGCUCCUGUGUCCCUCUCCA